rnacentral:rRNA from 1 species
UACGGAGGGGGCUAGCGUUGUUCGGAAUUACUGGGCGUAAAGCGCACGUAGGCGGCUUUGUAAGUUCGAGGUGAAAGCCCAGGGCUUAACCCUGGAAUUGCCUUUAAGACUGCAUCGCUUGAAUUGUGGAGAGGUGAGUGGAAUUCCGAGUGUAGAGGUGAAAUUCGUAGAUAUUCGGAAGAACACCAGUGGCGAAGGCGACUCACUGGACACAUAUUGACGCUGAGGUGCGAAAGCGUGGGGAGCAAACAGG